AACGAACGCUGGCGGCAGGCCUAACACAUGCAAGUCGAGCGGACCCUUCGGGGUUAGCGGCGGAAGGGUGAUUAACGCGUGGUAAGAUGCUCUUCUCCACGGAAUAAUCCUGGGAAACUGGGGGUAAUAACGUAUGCGCCCUUUGGGGGAAAGAUUUAUCGGGGAAGGAUCAGCCCGCGUUGGAUUAGGUAGUUGGUUGGGUAAUGGCCUACCAAGCCGACGAUCCAUAGCUGGUUUGAGAGGAUGAUCAGCCACACUGGGACUGAGACACGGCCCAGACUCCUACGGGAGGCAGCAGUGGGGAAUCUUAGACAAUGGGGGCAACCCUGAUCUAGCCAUGCCGCGUGAGUGAUGAAGGCCUUAGGGUUGUAAAGCUCUUUCAGCCGGGAAGAUAAUGACGGUACCAGCAGAAGAAGCCCCGGCUAACUCCGUG
rnacentral:rRNA from 1 species